GGCAGCAGUAGGGAAUAUUGCACAAUGGGCGCAAGCCUGAUGCAGCGACCCCGUGAGUGAUGAAGGCCUUCGGGUCGUAAAGCUCUGUUGUAUGGGAAGAAAAAACUAUGGCUAAUAUCCAUAGUCUUGACGGUACCAUAUCAGAAAGGACCGGCUAACUUCGUGCCAGCAGCCGCGGUAAGACGAGGGGUCCUAGCGUUGUUCGGAAUCACUGGGCGUAAAGCGUAUGUAGGCGGGCUUUUAAGUCGGGUGUGAAAUCCCACGGCUCAACCGUGGAAUUGCAUUCGAAACUGGAAGUCUUGAGUGUGGGAGAGAUUGGUAGAAUACCUAGUGUAGUGGUGAAAUACGUAGAUAUUAGGUGGAAUACCGGUGGCGAAGGCGGCCAAUUGGCCCAACACUGACGCUGAGAUACGAAAGCGUGGGGAUCAAACAGGAUUAGAUACCCUGGUAGUCCACGCCGUAAACGAUGAUCACUUGGUGUUGCAGGUAUUGACCCCUGCAGUGCCGAAGCUAACGCGUUAAGUGAUCCGCCUGGGAAGUACGGUCGCAAGAUUAAAACUCAAAGAAAUUGACGGGGGCCCGCACAGCGGUGGAGCAUGUGGUUCAUUCGAUGCAACGCGAAAAACCUACCUGGGUUUGAAGUGCUAGUGAUGCGAGAGAUAUCGCAGGCCUUCGGGACACUAGUAUCAGGUGCUGCAUGGCUGUCGUCAGCUCGUGUCGUGAGAUGUCGGGUUAAGUCCCAUAACGAGCGCAACCCUUGUCUUUAGUUGCCAGCAUUAGUUGGGCACUCAGAGAGACGCCGACGUUAAGUCGGAGGAAGGUGGGGAUGACGUCAAGUCCUCAUGGCCUUUAUGUCCAGGGCUAC
rnacentral:rRNA from 1 species